rnacentral:rRNA from 1 species
AUUGAACGCUGGCGGCAGGCCUAACACAUGCAAGUCGAGCGAGCGGCGGACGGGUGAGUAAUGUAUGGGGACUGCCCGAUCGAGGGGGAUAACUACGGGAAACGGUGGCUAAUACCGCAUACUAUCGGAUAACACAUAUGGGAUUCGCUAGUAGGUGGGGUAAAGGCUCACCUAGACCACGAUCGCUAGCUGGACUGAGAGGCUGAGCAGCCACACUGGGACUGAGACACGGCCCAGACUCCUACGGAGGCAGCAGUGGGGAAUAUUGGACAAUGGGCGAAAGCCUGAUGCAGCCAUGCCGCGUGUAUGAAGAAGGCCUUAGGGUUGUAAAGUACUUUCAGCGGGGAGGCGUUACCCGCAGAAGAAGCACCGGCUAACUCCGUGCCAGCAGCCGCGGUAAUUC